GCGCAGGUGGUGGAACGGUAUACACGUACGCUUGAGGGGCGUAUGCCGCAAGGCUUGGGGGUUCAAAUCCCCCCCUGCGCACCA
rnacentral:tRNA from 1 species